CCAAUCACAAUAUCAAGGCACCUUAUCAGACAAAAAAACCCAAAGCGUGGUUCCUCGCUCGCUCGCUCAUGGCUUCACUUCGUCUUCCAUGUUGUCUCUCAUCAAAAACGCCUUCCUUCUCCAUUAAUCCAAUAACCCCCAAGUUAUCUUCUCUCCAUAACCACCCUAACAACUUUACUUUUAAUACCAACACCAACAACAUCUCAUUAUCUCACUCUCUUUGUUUUCCAAUUAGAAACAACAACAAAUUCAGGCAUUUCCUUUUGCAUUUCUCUUCUACAACUCAAGACCACCCGGUUGUUGAUUCCUCUUCACUUGAUGAUGUUGUCACCGAAUACCAAUCAAAGGCUGAAGAAAAAGAAGAAGAGUUUUCGAAAACCAGACUGUUUGCUUCGAAUGUUCCAUGGAAUUGUACUGCAGAAGACAUUAGGGCUCUGUUUCAGAAGUUUGGGACAGUUGUAGAUGUUGAGCUUUCAAUGUAUAGCAAGAUCAGAAACAGGGGCUUGGCGUUUGUCACUAUGGGCUCCCCCGAAGAGGCAGUUGCUGCUCUUAAUAACCUCGAAUCUUAUGAGUUCGAGGGCCGUACUUUGAAGAUGAAUUAUGCAAAGGCAAAAAAGAAAAAACCUUCACCACCUCCACCACCCAAGCCAGGGCCAACGUUUAACUUGUUUGUAGCGAAUUUGCCAUUUGAAGCAAAGUCGAAAGAUCUUAAGGAGUUCUUUAUUGCAGAAGGUGCUAAUGUUGUUUCUGCUGAAAUUAUAUUUCAUGAUAAUCCUAGAAGGCCCUCCGGUUAUGGAUUUGUGGCAUUCAAAACUAAAAAAGAAGCUGAUUACGCCAUUUCUACUUUCUCCGAUAAGGAAUUCAUGGGAAGGCAACUUAGAGUUGCUCGCAGUAGACAAUUUGUCAAACAACGAAAAGAAGAUGCAGCACAAUCUGAUGGUACUUCGGGUGAGUUGGAAUCUGAAAAGGUACAAGCAGAUACAGCUAAUGACAAUUGAAAUGGAAAAUUUGCGAGGUUCUGAGAUUGUUUAAUUUGCUUCGCUUCGCUUCAAUUUUGUAGGAACAGAUACCUAAUCAAGAAAUUGGAGGCAAACUUCCAAAUAACUCGAAUUGAUUAGGCAUUUUGAAUUCUAUUGAUGUAACCAUACAUCUAAUCUGGUAUGUGUUUGGGGGUGGCUAUUAGAGGUGAGAAUCAUGAGUUUAGAUUUUUAUGCUUGUCUUGGCUGUCAGUAUGGAUGUAGAUAGGGCAUUUGAUGUUGCCAAAACUGGGGAAUCAUUCUUUGCAAAGGUAAAAUGAAAUCAAUCAAGAAACAAAAUAGUUGAGGAUGGAAAA